rnacentral:tRNA from 1 species
GUGAGUAUAGCUCAGGGAUAGAGCGUAUGCUUAGCAUGCACGAGGUCCUGGGUUCGAUCCCCGGUGCCUCCA